rnacentral:siRNA from 1 species
UAAACGCUAAACCCUAAACAGACU